rnacentral:ncRNA from 1 species
UAGGCUGACAGCAAAGUUCCCGACGGUCAGGCGGCCCACGAAAAGACCAUUACCGCGAUGCUCCCGGCCUUGGCAGGCGCCAAUGUCAUUUACGGUC